UGAGCCCUCAUCUCUACUACAUGAAGACAAGAAUGUUGUUUGAUUUUCCUCACUGGGGAUGAUCAUAUUGAUGAGAUAAAGAGAAGUGAGAUGAAACCCAUGGAGUGAGGAUGGUUUGACCAGACCUACUUUUACACGAAGUGAGCAGCAUAACAAAAUUGAAAAGAAGACAUCGGUAAAGAUGAUGGCAAAAAUGAGAAUCUUGAUUCGAUAAGAGUGCCGAGUGAGGAGAGAUGAACUUGUGUUUGGUCAUUCUGAAAUGACGACAACAGUGAACUUCCUUGCUAAUAAUUUAGGAUUAUGCCAUUUUAUUCACACUUACUACACCCGAUAACUGUCACUGCCACAAUGAAGACAUAAUCUAACCUGCUCUGUGCAUCUCCUUGAGAUGCUAAGAAAGGAAGGGGAAGAUGGAAUGUGUCCCACCUCCAGGGGACUAUGUCCAGCUGUCGCUCUUCAUUGAACCGACGAAAAAAAGACACAUGAAGAUAUUUGUUCUCUCCGCUAUACCUUCACCAUACCACUUGAGCCCAGCUUUGGGCAACCGUGGUGUGAUGUUCAAGGUCAGCUGGAUGCAGAUACUUUUCUUUCCUACAACUGUGGAAAUGACAAUGUCAAGUAUAUAAGUGUCCUGGUUGUGAUGGUGUCUGACACAGAGCUCUGGAAACAACAGAUUGCAACGUUGAGAGAUGCAGGGCACUCGCUCAAGCAACAACUUCUUGACAUGAAAAAGGAAAAUUUGAUUGA